CGGGAAGAGCUCAAAUUUGAAAGCUGGUGCCUUCGGCAUCCGCGUUGUAAUCUAGAGAGGUGUUUUCCGUGUCGGACCAAGCACAAGUCCCUUGGAACAGGGCGUCAUAGAGGGUGAGAAUCCCGUACUUGGCUUGGAUGCCCGAUGCUUUGCGAUACACC
rnacentral:rRNA from 1 species